rnacentral:lncRNA from 1 species
UGUACCGGGCCAUGGACUAGGGUGUGAUUUGUUAAGGCCCAAUACGAAAAAGCCCAAUAGGAGCAUCUAAAGGAGAAGCGUGAAAACAACCAUGAAAAACACAUGAUAAGCAUGAUCCACCAUGACUUGGAGAAGAAGGAAGAAGCUUGGAGAAGAAGGAAGAAGAAACCGCCCACUACCCAUGAAUUCCUCUCCAAGCAAGGCGGUUAUCAAGCAACAAGAAGGAGAUAUUUUGUCUAUAAAUAGGAUCUUCUUCAAGAGAAUAGGGGAC